rnacentral:sRNA from 2 species
CCCUAGCCCUGAUAACAGCGGCAUCCUUUUACUUUUUUCUUUAAAAAGUAAAAGAUAUAGCGGAUAGCAGGAAAUAGC